UAGGGAAGGAGGUCAACCAAGAAAAUGAUCAACAAGUGGUAUCCCGGAUGGAGCCAGUACCCCCUGCGGAAAGCAGGGAGACUUGUGGAACUGGGAGCAGCUCCCCUCUCUCUGGUGGAGGGGUUGCUGGAGGAAGCCUGAGAAGAGGGGAAAGGAAUUUAGAAGCUUGGCAUCUCAGGGGCAGAAGAGAGUCGUGAGCGAAUCCGCGAGCUCAGCCCUUACCUGACAGAGGAGGGCCCAGGAGUCCCCCGAGGCUCAUCAGCAUCAUCACCAGCCCUGUGGCCUGCACCACACCUCCAAUGCCCACCAGCCCCGGGAGCACACCGAAAACCAGUGGGGCAUAACUCCCAGCGCUCAGCCCAUAGGCCCCAGCAGCGGCCAGCAGAGGAGCCCCCCAACCCUCCUCUGUCCCCACAGUGGGCACUAGUCCCAUUGCUAGUACCCCUAACCCAGUCAGAGACCCAAACACCACCAGAAGCCUCGGAAGGGGCACCCAGCCCUGGUCUGCCAGCCAUCCGCUGGCCAAUCGGGCACAGGCAUCUCCCACUGCAGCGACAGCCACCACUAACGCUGCCCCAUAACCACCCAUGCCUUGAUCUAAAGCAUGCGGACCCAAAUGAACGUAGGGGACGAAGUAUCCGCCCCCGAUCAAGGCGGUGCCCAAAGCAAAGACUGAAAAGGCCCGGCGCUUGAACAGACCUAGGCCAAGGGCAGCUAGGGGGGUGCGAGGUGGGGCCAGCGGGUCACCAGAGAGAGCUAAAGGUCUUAGCAAGGCGCCACAGGGUGUGAGGUGAAGGGUGACAGCGCCAAGGAGGAGCAAGGCACCCCGCCAGCCGAAAGUAUCAAGGAGGAACUGCAAGGCAGGUGCCAGGAGCAGCGAGGAUGCCCCAUUACCGGCUCAGGCAACAUGGCAGAAGAGAGAGU
rnacentral:lncRNA from 1 species